UAGAGAAGAAAAAGAAAGACAGCGAUAGCCCAAUUGACCAGGGGCCUCCUUGGAUGAUUCAAGUAGAUCAACUCAGGGGUUUAAAAGGCAAGCAUGACGCAUCCCUAAGCAUGUGCUGAUUCUAUGGCAGCAGCAAGCCCUUUUGCAAACCAGCCAGCUCCAGCAGCAGCCUGAGCCAGAGAACAGCGCAAACCUGGGACCCCUGCAGAAAGGUCUGGUGUCCACCAAUUUUUUACUCAAAUUAUUAUAUUUGUCAAAACCAAGACUGCCGGCUGCUUCCUGCCACUGUUUAUUAAUAACUAUCCUCAACACAAGCUCCUUGGGGAAGCCGGGGAAGCCAGCCCCAGGGCCCAGGCUGGCAUCCUGCCAGGCGUCUGAGACAGCCCCAGGGGAUGAAAGCGCUACCCUUCCCAGCUCCUUCCAUGGGAAGUGAACCCCACUGUGGCGCCCUCUCCAGGUCUUUACAGGAGUCCAGGGCUCGCCUUCAGUAGGGACAGAUGCCACAAAAGAUGGGCCAUCAGCAUUAGGGACAAUUGCAAGAUCAUCCAGGAAACGGAGGACCCUAGGGGACAGGAAAACCUGCUCCAGGUGGCUGGGUAACUGGGAGGCAGAGCUGGCACUAGAGUCCUGUUUUACCCGGGCCUCCUGAGGCCAGGAAUCUUUCCACUGCGCUCCCUGUGUAUUUGUUUUU
rnacentral:lncRNA from 1 species